AACAGACCUCUAUUCAACCAUCAAUUAUGAGGAGUUAGACCGCAUCGUAACUGAGCUUCACAGAAGACAUCCAAACACCGGCUACAAGCUCAUGCAAGGUCAUCUGGCUGCAAGAGGUGUGCGUGUUCCAGGUGAGUCUGUUACUAUGGUCAUUAUUUCAUUUAAUUUGCAAUGCAGAGCCAAUUGCAGAACAGACCUGACCCAUGAUUUUCAGGCUAAUAUUUAAUAGAGGUGUACAAUAUCUAGCUGGAUGCGCCCAGCGCCCCCCUUUUCCCCCAAUGCUGUAAGAGGUAUAUUAUGAUCAGGCUGAAAAUCACAGGCCAUGUUUGUCAUGGCAUACAGUCAGCAGUGUAAACCUGUGGCAUGCAGGAGCAGCUUGCUUUUGUCUAGUAACAGAGUGACAAUAUCUGACAGUUCAGCACAAUUUUGAGACUGGUGGUUCAUAUAGUGACAACUCCACAUCCUGUCUUGUAUUAGACAAGUGAAUGAGUAUUUUUGUUACAGUACUGGUCAAGUAGGGUGAAUAGUUGUUUUUAACGAAGUUGCCAAUGAGUGUAUAGUUAUUAUUCAUUUGAUUUCCCUUCCCUCAGUAUCAAGACUGCAACAGUCUUUACGCAGAGUCAAUGCAGAGGGAGUCUACAUGAGACGUCUAAGACUUCAUGUAUUGAAACGACGGCAGUAUUCUGUUCCUGGCCCAAACUCUUUGUGGCAUAUAGAUGGCAAUCAUAAGCUCAUCAGAUCAGUGAUCUUAGCAGAUUAACAAUACAUCUUUUCUCAGAUGUGCCAUUACUAUUGUUUUACAACAAAGUUGUGCUUUUUCAUGUGUUCAUGAUUGCUUGACAGAUGGAGAUUUGUUGUCCAUGGUGGGGUGGAUGGAUUCAGCCAUUUGGUGGUCUACCUAACUGUGGCAGGAAAUAAUAGAGCUUAUACAGUCCUUCAGAGCUUUAUUGCUGCAGUUGAGCAGUAUGGGCUGCCAUCAAGGGUACAGUCUGAUAAAGGGGUUGAGAAUGCAGAUGUAGCAGAAUUCAUGAUCAGGAGCAGAGGGACUGACAGGAAUUCACACAUCACAGGGAGAAGCGUCCAUAAUCAGUGGUAAAUAUAUGUUUGGUAGCUAUGCUCAGACGACAACCACAGCAGUUGAGUGUACAUCAUUGGCAUAGAUCUAACGUACAUUAAUACUGUCAAUUUUAUUCUUAAUACAGAAUAAAGUGGAUGUGGAUGGAUGUUUAUGAACAUGCCCUUGACCUCUUCUAUCAAAUUUUCACUUCAUAGGAAGAUCAGGGAACAUUGGAUCCAGACAAUGAAGUCCAUCUUCUUGCACUACACCGGAGCUUUCUCCCACUAAUUCAAAAAAGACUUGACUCUUUUAAAGAUGCUUGGAACUUUCAUGGUCUUAGAACUGAAAGGAAUCACUCACAACAGCAAGUCUGGAGAAGAUACAGAGAGCAAGGGCCCACGGAGGUUCCCAUUGAGGUUGGAGAAAAAUCAACUUAAAACACUUUUGUCUGUUUCCCAAAAAGUAUGGAGGAUUGUAUUUACUUCAUGUGUUACACUAUAGUGUCUACAGUCACCAAAUUAGCCAUUAAACCAUAAUUGUUGCCAUGCAUAAUAUACACAAUCAUUAUUUUUCUCAAAGGAAUAGGCAACAUUUGAUUUCUCAAUGACUUGGUUACCAAACAUAAUCUUAGAAACCAUGUGUAAUGAAAUGUCAGACUCGUUUUUAACCACAAGAUUGAUCAUGCUUGUCCUCCAUUCAGGUUUAUGAAGACUAUGGGAUCGACUGGAAUGGACCUCACAGUCUUCAUAGAGGCACUGUGUCAGUCCCCGAGAUUCAGCUGGCCCGAGAGCUCACAGACGAAGAGGUCCCCACUUUGCCAGCUCCAGGAUUGUCUGUCACUGGUGCAGUUAGAUCAUAUUUAGACACUGUGCAGGUUUUAACAAGAAUAACAGCAAACUGAUGUCCAACCCAUGCUUUUAUUUUGCCUCACAGACCAAGCAAAACUAAACUGGAAAAACUUCCUUUCCUCAGAUUUAAAAAAACAAAACAAAAACAAAACAACCAUAGUCACCACUGUGAUCUUUUAGAUGGACUUAUUCUACAUCUCAUUCUCCACAUAAUGGAUAACAAU
rnacentral:lncRNA from 1 species